rnacentral:lncRNA from 1 species
GGGGGGACACGGGGGAAGGGUGAGAGGGGUAGGGGCGAAAGGGUAAUUGUGUCAGGAGAGGUGAGAUGAUGUGACUUUUUUGUGGUGGGAAUAAAGGUUCUCAUAUUUUCUUAUUUUUUUUGAAAAUAUAAAAAAUUUCACUAAUAAAAAUAAAAAAUAAAAAUAAUUCCAAACUAAAAACAAACAUAAACCAAAGAUGAAGGUUACAUUAGCAAGAUAACAACGGGCUUUGUUUGAUUCAAUUUUUAAAUUAUUUUUGUAAAAUAUUAUUUUUAAAAUUCUUUUUUUUAAAAGAAUAUUUUAUUUUCAUAAUAGAACUAACAAGCUCACCACCGAACUUCUAAAAUGAAAUAGAGAAGGCUAUAGAAGAAAGAAGAAAUUCACGAACACCGACUGCUAAGAGAGACUAGUGACAACGAUGUUGAGAAGUUCAGAAAAAUACGAUUUAUCAUUUUUUUCCUUUUUUUAAUGAUUUUUCAGCUCUCUUUUCUCUUAUUGUACUUUAUUUUUGUCAUUAUUAUGACAGUGCAUUAAAAUAUUUUAUAUAUUUAAGAAAAAUAUAAAAUUUAUAAAAAUAUUUUUAUUUAUAAUAAUGUCACUAUCACAUUAUUAUUCUGAUAGCAUUAUUUUUUUUACAAUCUUUCUUUAAAAAUAUAUAAAUCUUCCAUAAAAGAAGCCUCAACCAACGGGUCUAUUAGGGCAUUAAGUUUCCUAAAAGUGUGGCAUGACACUUGCCAAUUAUUGAAACACGAAUGCAUAAAUAAAUACAACCCUAAACUAUGAGGACGAUAAAUGGAAAUACCAACCUCUCAGAAGUACGACGGUGCGAAGUGAUGUGUGAGGCCAUAGGCCGCCAAGGCUAUUCGAGACGUGUAGUUAUUUUGUUUUUUGAAUUUUUUAAAUAUAUUUUUAUAUUUUUUUAUUAUUUUUAAUAUAAGAAAAUUUUAUAUAUUUUUUAUUUCUUUUAAUAUAUGAAAUAUCAAACCAUAGUUUUUUAUUUUAAUUUCAAAAAAACUAUUUAAAAAAAAACUUUGUCUCGAAAAAUUAGUUAUUUUUUUAUCUUUUAGAAUUUUUUUAGAUUUAAAUAUUUUUUAAUUUUUUAAUAAAACAGAAAAAAAAUACUAAACAAUAAAAAAAAAUCAAAAAUCAAAACCUUUAAAUUUUUUUUUGGAAAAGAGCUAGAAGGAGUCCGAACGUCCUUUUGUAGAGUUGGGCCCUUGUCUCAGAGUCCACAUAUCAUGCCCCCAAUGGGGCCCAUCAAAGACCCACUGAUGAUCCAAUUAUGUUCCUCUUUUAGCUCUUUAUGCCUAGUAUAUUUUCUUAUUCCAAAAUUGUCCAAUUGCAAAAGAAGUAUGCUAUAAAUAACUACAAGGGUAAAAAAGUCAAUUCCUAUUUUAACUCUUUAUGCCCGGUAUACUUUCUUAUUCCAAAAUUGUCCAAUUGCAAAAGAACUAUGCUAUAAAUAACUACAAGGGUAAAAAGGUCAAUUCCUAUUUUAGCUCUUUAUGCCUAGUAUAUUUUCUUAUUCCAAAAUUGUCCAAUUGAAAAUGGACUGUGCUAUAAAUAACUACAAGGGUAAAAAGGUCAAUUCAUCUUUUGACUCUUUAUGUCUGGUAUAUUUUCUUAUUCCCAAAUUGUCCAAUUGAAAAUGGACUGUGCUAUAAACAACUACAAGGGUAAAAUGGUCAACAAAAAUCUGCAACAAUUACGAGUAUUUGGGAUGGGUGACGUUCUGCGGUUGCUAUGUGGCCACUACAGUGGAAGAAUAAUUGAACCAUGUAAGUGGGCUGGGCCCAGCCCACCCACUCGUAGUUGGAAUUCCAAUAAUUGUACUAUCUAAGUGGGCUGGUGGUGGGCCUACGGGCCGGUCCAGGCCAGGCUGGUAUUACAAGCCCAAUAAUUGUCCUCAUCAACAAACAUAUAAACGUGUUAUUUUUUUACGUACCAAACUAGUGGUUGGACUGCUCUGUGCACUGCCAAGUCACGUGAAAAAUAAUAAUAAUUUUUACAAUCCCCUUUUUACGAAAUGUAUUCAUUUUUUUGUUCUCGUUAUGUUAAUUUUGAAUAAAUACCUAAAUUAGCCUUCUCAAAAAAAGAAAGAAGAAAAAGUAUAAGGCUAUGGAGAGAUGCGAUUCUGGUAAUUGACAAAAUUAUUAAGGAUAUUAUUGUAGUAUUGCGUAAUAAUUAGAUAAAAAGUGAAAUGAAAAAAUUAUUACAAAAAAAAAUGUAUAUAAAUUUAUAUAUAACCAUAAAUGCUAAUUGUUCAAACCAUUAAAAUGUAAUUUCCACGAAUAACACCUUGAAAAGGAACUUAAUCAUGGGGGUAUUUUUGAACUUUCACUUCUAAUCGAGUUGGGUUCGGGACAUGACGACCUAAACCCCAUCCACCCAAAACCGAACAGAUUUAGAAAAUCUACCCUAUACCCUGACCCUAACCUGAAUUAUGCAAUCCCAUUUCCCCCUAUUUGGGGAUAAACGGACAGGUUGGUACCGAGUUACUCGAAUACCCCGCUCGAUUGAAAAAAAAAAAAUCAUUAGAAAUGAGUGAGAAAAGAAGUAUAUGUGUGUAUAUAUAUACUACUUAAUGUUCUUAUACUUUUCCAUCUUUUUCGUUUUAUUUUCUUUUUCCCUUCACACAAAAACAAGUCUAACUAUAGCAUAAAAUUAAUACAAUAAAUUAGAGAUGACUGAGAAUACUAUUUUAUAGACAUCGAAAAACAUAACGAUAUAAGCACAAUAAUAAAAGGCAUUAUUAAAUAAACCAAGUUACACGAGUUUUGCUUAUUACAUUAAAUAAACCUUCACGUGCUUUCAAAUUUUUUUUCGUAAGCUGUAAUUUAUGCGAUAGAAUUUGAAGCCUAACGUUUAAUAAUAAUUCGUUGUGACAACUGAAUUAAGCCCAGCCCACAACGAGACCCAAAAUAAAUAAUCAGCCUAUCUCUCAACCCAAAUCAGGUUGGAGUCUUUAAAUCCCCUUUUGUUCAACAAAAAAAAUAAUAUUGUUUAUUAAGUAUGCGUGCCCAUGGAUCAAUAGUAUGAUCAAAAUCGUUCAUUAUGUAAAACUUGUUGGUUAUAGUAUUUUGAAAAAAAAAAUCAGAUUCAUCGAACAUUGAUAACUACAUGAUCGUCCCACAUUAGGCUUACACUCUAAUCUCAAAAUCAUACUCUCUAUCCAUUUUAUCAAGAGAAAUAUGUCUCGGAUUACGUGGCUACUGAUGUUCAAUUUGAUUUUUGGUUGUCCAUGUUUGGUUCCUAACUUUAACUCAAUUUUUUGGGACUUUUUUUUGCCUUGAUUUUGGUACAAUAUCUUUUAUUUUUUUGAUUUAUCAUGACUAGAAUAUUUGAAUAAAGGUUACUAAAGACAAAAAUAAAUCGAUAUUUCUAUGUGAAUUUUGUUUUUGGUGAGUUUUUACAAUAUUUUAAUUUAAAUUUUAUUUUUCUAAUUUAUCUAAUUGUGACAAAACGAAAAAAUAAAUAUUAAAUUUAGAUGGCAUAAAUCUUGAGGGAAACAAGAAUUUGAUUUAUAUCGUUAUGAUAUUAGGUUUUGGAUUCCCAAAAUAUUAUUUACUGAUAUUAGGUUUUGGAUUCCUGUUAACAAUUCUUAUUCCCCAAAUUUCAGCCAGCCAAACACAGCUUAAGAUCAUUUUCCCUAACACUCCCAACACAAAAAUGAAAGGAAAAUGCUAUUCUAUAAGAAUUUUCAUACAUAAAUUGUCUCCGGAAUAAUGUGUCGAUGGUAUUAUUGUAAUCAAAAGAUGUUAUUUAUCUUUAAAUGAUAGGCCUAUAAUUCUACCACAUCAUUUUAUAUAAUUUUUUUUGUACAUUUUUUUUGUUAAUUUGUAUAUCAUUUCUCAAAAAAAAAAGAGAAAUCAUCAUAAAAAUUACUAAUAUUCUCACAUCAAAAGUACAUUUACUUGCCAUCAUUUGAUGAGCCAUUGGGUGCAGGCGAAGGACCAAGUCCCUAUCAAUUCAGAAAAACUUUAUUCCCACCCCCGAUACACAACACGGAGUGUGAUGAUAGGAAGGUAAAUAAAAAAUUUUGGCCAACUUUACUCCUUUUCUCAUCUCUCUCUCUCACCCAUUGUGUAAUUUAUUUUAUCUAGUUUUUUAUUAAAAAAAAUAUAAAUCAAAAAUUUUUAAAAACACUAAAAUAAAAAAUUAUAAUUUGUUAUUUGAGACUAUUCUUAAAAGUUUAUUUUACUACCGUUCCAUUGUUCCACCACUCGUGUCAUGGGAAUACAGACUCUCUUCCAUGGAUAAUUUUUACAAGUGCCAAGAAAAAGAAUCCAAUGAUUGGAAGAGCAAAGAAUUCAUUUCUUUCCAACCAAAAAUCCAAAAUCCAAAAACAAAAAGGAAUUGAAAAGAGAUGGAGAAAGAAAUUAGAAAGAUGGGUUUAUAGGAACACAAAGAAAUGGGUCCAGAGGGUAUUGAGAUUGAGGUACUAGAGGAUGAAGAGGCCUUGCUAUAUACACAUAGGAUGGAGUCAAAAUAUUAUUUUAGUGGGAUCAAAAUUAUAAAAUUAUAUAUAAUUAUAAAAUAAUAGUAUAAUUGUUUUUUU